rnacentral:rRNA from 1 species
GACGAACGCUGGCGGCGUGCUUAACACAUGCAAGUCGAACGCUGAAGCACCAGCUUUCUGGUGUGGAUGAGUGGCGAACGGGUGAGUAAUACGUGAGUAACCUGCCCUUGACUCUGGGAUAAGCCCUGGAAACUGGGUCUAAUACUUGAUUCUACAUGUCACCGCAUGGUGGUGUGUGGAAAGGGUUUACUGGUCUUGGAUGGGCUCACGGCCUAUCUGCUUGUUGGUGAGGUAAUGGCUCACCAAGGCGACGACGGGUAUCCGGACUGAGAGGGUGAACGGCCACAAUGGGACUGAGACACGGACCAGACUCCUACGGGGGGCAGAAGUGGGGAAUAUUGCACAAUGGGCGAAAGCCUGAUGCAGCGACGCCGCGUGAGGGAUGACGGCCUUCGGGUUGAAAACCUCUUUCAGCAGGGAAGAAGCCACAAGUGACGGUACCUGCAGAAGAAGCGCCGGCUAACUACGUG